rnacentral:rRNA from 1 species
GACGAACGCUGGCGGCGUGCUUAACACAUGCAAGUCGAACGGAAAGGCCCUGCUUUUGUGGGGUGCUCGAGUGGCGAACGGGUGAGUAACACGUGAGUAACCUGCCCUUGACUUUGGGAUAACUUCAGGAAACUGGGGCUAAUACCGGAUAGGAGCUCCUGCUGCAUGGUGGGGGUUGGAAAGUUUCGGCGGUUGGGGAUGGACUCGCGGCUUAUCAGCUUGUUGGUGGGGUAGUGGCUUACCAAGGCUUUGACGGGUAGCCGGCCUGAGAGGGUGACCGGCCACAUUGGGACUGAGAUACGGCCCAGAGUCCUACGGGAGGCAGCAGUGGGGAAUAUUGCACAAUGGGCGGAAGCCUGAUGCAGCAACGCCGCGUGCGGGAUGACGGCCUUCGGGUUGUAAACCGCUUUCGCCUGUGACGAAGCGUGAGUGACGGUAAUGGGUAAAGAAGCACCGGCUAACUACGUG